GUUCAAUCCAUGAGUAAUAUUAAAGCUCUGCACAACAGUUUCAAUCAGAACCAAUGAUGCAAGCAACUUAGACAAUUUCUAAUUGAUGCAAGACUUUCAUUGAUGGAUUAAACAUAGGCAAUAGCAUCAGAUAACACUAGGAUUGAACUUAGACAGUAUGAGAUAUGCUUAUAUAUGCAAAAUAACUUAUCAAUCAUGAUGCAAGCAGCAGAGACAUUCUACUCAAUUCUACAACACAUUCAUGAUGAUUCAAGCUAUGACA
rnacentral:lncRNA from 1 species